CCGCCCCCCCCCCUCGGGCGGUGCACUGCACUGCGGACAGGGACAGGGACACCCUCCUGGGAGAACUCCCGGGGCCCCGCCCACAUGCUUUGGACCUUCGCGGAGCCGCAAGGUGCGCUGACAGGGACUGCAGGGUCCCCGCCAAGCUCGCUCUCGGGGAACUGCAGCCUCCUCCCUCGGGUUUUACUUGAACGUCAGACCCGAAACCAUGCAACGUCUAGAAGAAAACAUAGGCAGUCAGCCCUUUGACAUCACUCUUAGCAGCCUAUGUUCAAGUACCACGUCUGACUGGGCAAUGGAAACAAAAUACAAAAUGAACAAAUGGGACUACAUCAAAGUAAAAAAAUCUUCUGCACGGCAAAGGAAACCAUCCACAAAACCAAAACGCAACCUAACACCUGGGAGAAGAUACUUGCAAACCGUAUAUCGGAUAAGGGGUUAAUUAAUACCCAAAAUACAGAAAGAACUCAUACACCUCAGCAACAACAAAAAAAAAAUCAACAACCCAAUUAAAUAAACGGGCAAAAGAUCUGAGCAGUGACUUCUCCAAAGAAGAUACAGGGAUGGCCAACAGGCAUAUGGAGAGGACAGCCUCCGAGCCUUUAAUACUUAUAUUCCUUGCUCUGUGUGCAGCAAUAGCUGUGGCCCUGCAUCCAUGCAAGCUCCCCCACAAGGAAACCAUGGAGACCCAGUAAGGAGUCAGAACUUCUACACCAACCUACAGAGAUAAGGAGAUCUUCCCUCAUCAUGUGCCAUCAGAGGCUGAGUAGAAAAAUUUGAUUUCUACCUCCCUUGCAGUAACAAGACAGUGUCCCCCACUCUUUCUCAGCCAGAACUAUAGCAGACAAAGCUAGAUAAAACAGAAGGUUUAAAUAAAAUCCAGAACCUCAAAAACCAAAAAAAUCCAGGGCCUCAUAUCACAAUACACAACUUGCUCCAGUUUCCAUCAAAAAUCACUCGUCAUAGCAAGAAGCAGUAAGGUCUCAGACUGAAUGAAAAAAGAAAACCAACAGAUGGUAACAUGGGGAUCACAGAGAUGUGAAAAUUAUCUAAUAAAUAUUUAGAGUAACUAUGAUAAAAAAUGCUCCAAUCAGCGAUUUUGAAGACACUUGAGACAAAUGAAAAAAUAGAAAGCCUCAGCAAAGAAAUGGAAGAUUUCAGCAAUGAACAUCAGUGUCAGUAUCCUGGUGGUGACAUUGUACUGGAGUUCUGUGCCAUGUUACCAUUGGACGAAACUGGGUA
rnacentral:lncRNA from 1 species